rnacentral:hammerhead_ribozyme from 1 species
ACCCAGCUGACGAGUCCCAAAUGGGACGAAAUGUACAUCCUGAAU